CACGUAGGCGGGUCACCAAGUCAGCCGUGAAAGCCCCCGGCCCAACCGGGGAACUGCGGCCGAAACUGGUGGUCUUGAGUGCGAGAGGGGAGAGCGGAACUUCUGGUGGAGCGGUGAAAUGCGUAGAUAUCAGAAGGAACAUCGGUGGUGAAAACGGCUCUCUGGCUCGUUACUGACGCUGAGGUGCGAAAGCUAGGGUAGCGAAG
rnacentral:rRNA from 1 species